AAAAAAAAAAAAAAAAAAAAGACUUGCUGAAAGUCAUGCUCACAAGCCAGGAUCCUAACCCAGUGGGCCUGGCUCCAGGCAAGUACUCCUAGUGACUGCAUAGGAGGCAGAGUGCUGCAACUGGGCCUGGAGGAGGUUGGCCUUGAAAGAGGGGCAACAUGGGUAGACAGAAAGGUCAAUGUGGUGCUCCUAAGCCUGGAGUUCCUCUGUCAGUGUCUGCUUGGCCAUAGUGUCCCCUGGACCCUGGCAUUCCUGCAGGGGUGACUUCUGCUGAGGAUGGGCAUGAGAUGUGGUUGGCUUGAGGUUACUACAGCUCCGAGGCCCCAUUUUGUGUCAAAGUUCCUUGUAACUUUUGAGGGGUCAUGAUGUGCCCCCAAUUUUGAGCUUUGCCACACCUUAGAUCAUGUAUUUUGGAAUGUCAUGUAGCAAGAGCUGACCCUUGAGCCUCCAGUCCCCUGCUCUUCCCGCAUUGCUGACCCCAUAGUUUGCCCAGACUGGGGCUGUCCUUGGCUGUGCCCUCCUAUUCCUGGCUUCACACAGCUCUGCUCCUGAUUUCUGCUCAGUCACGUUUUCUCUGCUUCACAAAAACACUUCUGGAUUCACGCUGCCCUGGUUGGGAUUUCCCAGACGCGGAGCCUCAGGAAGGAGGGAGCUGGGGUAUUUAUACACUAGGUCCUGUCAGUCAUUGUUGAGUGUGAAUCCCUCUGUAUGUCUGACCUACUGCAUUUGCAGGUUCUGGCAUAGAGAUGAGAUGCUGGUGGUUGGAGCUGAUUGAAGUUGGUGCUGGAAAACUAGGGUCCAAAGGCCAUAGUGGGGAGAGUCACUGACAUCCUAGCUCAUGGAAUCUUAAAGUUUUGGAGCAGAAAGGGAGCUCAGAGUUAUUCUAGCCUACUCCCUCCCUUCUCUCAUGGGCCAGGAUGUGCUUCUUGAGCACUGCGUUCCCAUCAUGAAGAGGAGGCUCAGACAGGAGAACAUCCUGCAGACCCCAUUUUCUCUCUGAAUCUGUCAAGAGGGAGAGACCCUGACAUAAGUGCAUUUUAUUAGUUUGACUCCAGGUGGAUGUGGUCAAGAAGAUGGACUCCCUCCCCACCUGAGCUUCUGACUUGGGGAAAUGGAUUCACCAUAGUAGAUGGCAUCUCACAUCUCUCCCCAGCUCGAUGUUGCAGAAGUUGUAUUACAGACAAGUGUGGCCAAGAGAUCCAUGGCUCUCUUCUUACACCUGUGAGCACCCACUGGAGUGCAGUGGAUUAAACAUGACAGGGCCCAUCUGGGGGCAAGUUUGAGCCUUGCCAGUUUGAUAUUGGGCGCUAAGUGGAGUGGCUACUAUAGCAAAUCUGGUGUACAUUGUGCUAUAAAUUGGUCUUUCUGUAUUGUCCUGUCAUAAAGACUAGUACCUUAGGAUAGAACACAGGCUUAGGACCCCAUAAGACUGCUGUACAAGCCAACCCAGCAAACUGGUCAGUUACAAACCUUGCUGUAGGUCUCUGAAAAAAAAAAAACUGGAUAAAGUUUCCCUCUCAUCUUGUUUCAUGUCCUUGGGAGCUUGACCUUGUAACCAUGUGGCAGUACUCAGUACUUUCUCUUGGUCUCCACCAUCCAGAGAACAGGAAUUUUGGAAUUCAUGUCAUAGUUGGCUCUAAAAAUUAUCUUAAGCAGUUAAAAGUCAUUGAAAGCUCAAAAUUGGUUACUCUAGGCCCCUUCUGGGAAGAGCAGUGGAAACUGCCCAAUGCUGAAGCUUUGUGGCUAAGGCUUUGUCUGUUUCCAAUGGCAGCCUUGGUUCAGGGUUCAAUUCCUGGCUUAGGGAAUGAGUCACUCCUUGUUUGAUAUCGAUAUGACCUUUACCAUUUGUUGAUUCUCCUCCCCUCCAUGAACCAUCUUGAAUUUUCCUUUCUCUGAGCACCCGGGAGGUUAUAUUUGGUAAAGUUCAAAAGUCAGAAAUACUGGUGAUUUGGCAUGACUAAUGUUGGGUAAUAAGAGAUUUAAAAGGAUUUUUUAAAAGAGCACUAUGAUUAAAAGUCAGCUUAAUUAAAACCGCAUAUUCAAGCUCUAACAGCCUGGAACUCCUUGAGAAAAAUAGGAGGUGCCACAGACCCUGUUUUGGGAAAAUCCUCUGUUUUCCUCAUGAAACCCCAGGAACUGAAAGUGGAUAGAUCUCUCUCAAAAUCUAAGGCACUGUUCUGUUUUGCAUUGUGUCAUCCAACAUUUUUGACUUCUGGGGAUAUCAGAUAUUACUUCACAUUGCGAGAGAGAUUUGGUGUGUAAUGACUAGGUAGGAAAUAUACUUUUAGGGGUGGCUAAUGGCAGUUAUGGGAAGAUACUCAGCUCUUUGUACGUUUGGAUCAGAGAAGCAUGCUCUUGGCUACCUAGAAGAUAUGAAAAUGUCCCCAUUCCCACAGUGAGAGAUAAGACUCUCAGGGGGAUGGACUAAUCAUAGAAUGUGCUGAUUGUGUUUGGAUUGCUUUGCAAUGAAACGCAUGGUAAAAUAAUUACACUGUUGUUCUGUAGUGUUUCUCUUUUGGGGAUCUAGGAUCCAAUAUGAAAAAUGGGACCUUUAAUUUUGGGGAUUUUUUUUUUUUUUGCCUUCCAGUUGUGCCCACUUAUUAGGCUAUAGAAACUGCAUGCUUUCCUGGCCCUGUUCCUCCAAGGGCUCUACCCUGAAACCAGUAAUCUAAGUAAGAAACUGGCAAAUGAAAAACCCUACAACUACUGGAUCUUUUGUCUGACUGUGCAUUUAUAUGUGCUGUGUGUGAUGUUUAUAUAUGAAAGAGCUCUGAUUAAUUGGCUUAAAAAUACUAAGUGCUUAAAUCAAAUAUUUUGUCAGAAAAAUAAAAAUUGUAAUGACUUUUAGUAGGUUACUGAAGAAACAGUUUUACAUGCAAGGUGUGUAAGGAAAGUGAAAUGGGUUUUUGGUAAGAGAUUAUAAGAAGGCAAUGGAAUAUGGGUUUUCUUGGGCCUAGUUUAGAUGGCUAAAGGAUUAUUUUAAGUUAGGUAGGAUAAAGUUGAAGGUUUGAACAAGUUGUGGAAAGUUUGUGAAAAAUUAAUCUUGUAAAAAUUCUCUGUAUGAACAUAUUGGCCAAAGUAAAAGGCGUAUUC